rnacentral:lncRNA from 1 species
GGUUCACUGCGUCUACGGGCGGUACCUGGGUUCCUUGAAUUUUUCUUCGGGAACUGAAACGCGCUUACGGUACCUACAAUGUCCCAAAUAAACCCAAAAAUCAGUCCCAGGGUCUACUCGGCCAAUUUUAGAAAUCCGGCACGGUGGCUCCGUCAUGCUCUGACAACAGUGUCAUCGCUUGUGGUGGCAAUCUGUCUCGGGUUGGCUUUUUUCAACCGUUUUCGACCGAAUUCAGCCAAAUUUGCAUCAGUUUCGGCGAGAAAACACACUUAGGGCCCUCGGUUGGCUAAAAAAAACAUAGAAAACUGAAACUCACAUGCGGAGGGCUCUCCGGUGCAGU